rnacentral:rRNA from 1 species
AGGAUUCCCUAGUACGGCGAGUGAGAGGGAAGAGCCCAAGAUUGAAAGCUGGCGUCUUCGGCGUCCGCAUUGUAAUCUCAAGAAGUGUUUUCCGCUUCGGACCAAGCCUAAGUCCCCUGGAAAGGGGCAUCAUAGAGGGUGAUAAUCCCGUACAUGGCUUGGAGCGCCCGAGGCUUUGUGAUACGCUUUCUAAGAGUCGAGUUGUUUGGGAAUGCAGCUCAAAAUGGGUGGUAAAUGCCAUCUAAGGCUAAAUAUUGGGGAGAGACCGAUAGCGAACAAGUACAGUGAUGGAAAGAUGAAAAGAACUUUGAAAAGAGAGUUAAACAGUACGUGAAAUUGCCAAAAGGGAAGGGUAGGAGGUCAGAGAUGCGGCCUGGGAUUCAGCCUUGCUUUUGCUUGGUGUUUUUCCCAGAUUGCAGGCCAACGUCGGUUUUGGGCACUGGAGAAGGGUAGGAGGAACGUGGCACCCCUCGGGGUGUGUUAUAGCCUCCUACUGGAUACAGCGACCGAGACCGAGGACAGCAGCGUACUCGCAAGAGCGGGCCUUCGGGCACCUUUACGCUUAGGGCGUUGGCAUAAUGGCCCUCUACCACCCGUCUG